UGGGAGGCAGCAGUGAGGAAUAUUGGACAAUGGGCGCAAGCCUGAUCCAGCUAUGUUGCGUGAGUGAUGACAGUUCCAUAUAAACAUGCCAAGGCACGUUGAAUUGUAAAACUCUUUUAUCAAUGUUCAUAGUGAUAUAAUUGAUGAAUAAGCUCCGGCCAACUCCGUGCCAGCAGCCGCGGUAAUACGGGGGGAGCAAGCGUUGCUCGGUUUAACUGGGCGUAAAGCGUGCUAAGGCUGUUUUAUAAGUUAACAAUCAAACCUUGAAGCUCAACUUCAUACAAUUGUUAAUACUGUUUAACUAGAAUGCAGUAGGGGUGAACGGAACUCCAAGUGUAGAGGUUAAAUUCGUUGAUAUUUGGAAGACCGCCGAAGGCGAAGGCAGUUCACUAUGCUGUUAUUGACGCUUAAUUGCACGAAAGCGUGGGUAGCAAACAGGAUUAGAUACCCUGGUAGUCCACGCUGUAAACGAUGAGUGCUAGCAGUUGGGGAUAAGCUGUAUAACUUGUAUGGUUUAUAUAAUUUCUAGAUUGCACAGCUAACGCGUUAAGCACUCCGCCAGGGUAGUACGGUCGCAAGAUUGAAACCCAAAGGAAUUGACGGAGGCCCGUCCAAGCGGUGGAGCAUGUGGUUUAAUUCGAAACUACACGAAGAACCUUACCAGCCCUUGACAUUUUAGGCUCAAAACUGUUUAUUAAAUUAAACACUUAUAGCUCGUAAAGGGGUUAUAGGCCUUUAACAGGUGCUGCAUGGCUGUCGUCAGCUCGUGUCGUGAGAUGUAUGGUUAGCUCCCAUAACGAGCGCAACCCUUGCCCCUAGUUGCUUAAGGCAAUGAAACCAGCUCUCUAGGGGGACUGCUAAUUCAAAGUUAGAGGAAGGAGAGGAUAACGUCAAGUCAUCAUGGCCCUUAUGGGCUGGGCCACACACGUGCUACAAUGGCAACCACAGAGAGCCGCAAUGCCGCGAGGCUGAGCAAAUCUUUUAAAAGUUGUUUAAGUUCAGAUUGCACCUCUGUAAUUCGAGUGCAUGAAGCUGGAAUCGCUAGUAAUCGCGGAUCAGCAUGCCGCGGUGAAUACGUUCUCGGGCCUAGUACACACUGCCCGUCACGCCCCGGGAGCCAGCUUUGCUUCAAGCUUAAGCAUUAGCAAAGGUAAUAGCAAGGCAGAUGACUGGGGCGAAGUCGUAACAAGGUAGCCGUAGGUGAACCUGUGGCUG
rnacentral:rRNA from 1 species